UUAACAUAAACAACAUCACUGCAGGUGGAAGAAAAAAAAAACACAAAUCCCGCAGACUACGCAUAUCGACUAAGCUUUGUUGGAAAGUCGCAGCGGCAUCGAAACUUUGGAUUAUUUCCAGCCUCGGUGAAUUGAAUUUACCUUUCACGAUGAGCCGAAGCGGGCCUGUUUUUGGUAUUAUAUAAUAAUACUUUUACCUCAGGUACGUCAAUGUAAACAUUUUCUUUCAGUAUAAUGCUUACGGUAAUUUUAUUCACUGAAUAUAAAUCACCCCGGACUAUGCCAAAUGAUCUGUGUGCCUGCGCCACCAUGGCUUAACUCGUGAUUAAUACUCUGCUGUGUGUGUGAACUCAAGAUAAAUGACCCUGCAAUUUCACCUGCAUCAAUAAUCGAUAUAUUAUCUCGCGGCGGCGGCACCCUUCUUUUUCCCUGUCGUGCAGGGGUCGAGACCCGUGUCGGACCCUAAGCAAAAAGCCAAGCGCAGCCGCAUCAACACGGCACCUAUACGUGAGACGAGCAUCUAUAGACGCGUAAACAGGUGCUGGAUGUUGCUGCCGUCCGAGAUCAAUACGCAAACAAG